GUUCAGUGUACGCAUCAAUACACAGAUAUCUAAACACGACCAUAUUAUAAAGGCUAGUGUGUCGACAGACUGAUUUUUUCACCGUUAGCUUAUGAAGCAAAUAUUGUCUGAUAUGUCAUUUACCAUUUCAGACCUAUUAUAUUUUUACCUUUCUCAGCAAUAAACAAAACUUAUCAGCACUGGUGCAUCUUUAUAUGUUGGCAUGAAUUAGACAACCUGCGUCUUUACAUCACCAUUUCCUUAAGCCAAGUUUGAGGCAGCCAUAUUGGUCGCAUAGUUGGGCUACUGUACGAAAACGACUCUUCGGUACCUUCGUUUGUUUACCAGAUAAUAUAUUCGACUUAGAGGCAAAUCUUCGUCACAGUUUGCUUUUACUUAGUAGUACCAGUUGUUAGAUAUCAAAAGUAAUUUAUAGUGAUUUCUAUACUGAUUCCAUUGCGGAUUUUUUUCGACGAUUCGAGAAGGUUAAAACUCAAAAGAUCAAACAAAAUGUUUUCAGAUGAAGAUAUAAUAUUUGACGAUGAUGACUCUGAUCAAUUCAGCGAAGAUGAUACAGAAUCCGCAAUAGAAAUGUUUGAAGCUAGCAGUUCUCGAGAAGAGUCUGAAAAAGUUGAUUUUUCAUUUGAAAUUCUUCCUACCGAGAAAAUUGUACAACACAUGACAAAUUGUAUACAAGAAGUAAAUACAGUUGUAGAAAUCCCAGCUACGAUUACGAGAAUUUUAUUAAAUCAUUUUAAGUGGGAUAAACAAAAGUUGAUGGAUAGAUAUUACGACGAUGACCAAGAAAAUUUGUUUAAAGAAGCAAAUCUUAUCGACUGUUUUAAGCAAAGUAUUGCUAUAGGAGCCAACGGUUCUGCAGAUGCAGACAGAUCAAUGCAAAA